UACGUAGGGUGCAAGCGUUGUCCGGAAUUAUUGGGCGUAAAGAGCUCGUAGGCGGUCUGUCGCGUCGGCUGUGAAAUCCCGAGGCUCAACCUCGGGUCUGCAGUCGAUACGGGCAAACUAGAGUAUUGCAGGGGAGACUGGAAUUCCUGGUGUAGCGGUGAAAUGCGUAGAUAUCGGAAGGAACACCAGUGGCGAAAGCGGCUUCCUGGUCCAGCACCGACGUUCAGGCACGAAAGCGUGGGGAGCAAACAGG
rnacentral:rRNA from 1 species